rnacentral:rRNA from 1 species
CGCGUAGGCGGCGGCCCAAGUUCAGGCGUGAAAUUCCUGGGCUCAACCUGGGGACUGCGCUUGAUACUGGGUUGCUUGAGGAUGGAAGAGGCUCGUGGAAUUCCUAGUGUAGCGGUGAAAUGCGUAGAUAUUAGGAAGAACACCAGUGGCGAAGGCGGCUUGCUGGACAGUAACUGACGUUCAGGCUCGAAAGCGUGGGGAGCAAACA